GUUUCAUCUGGGGAAGAGGCGGCGGGACGGGUGAGUAAAAAAAAAAAGGAAUCUGCCUGGUAGUGGGGGAUAACGUUCGGAAACGGACGCUAAUACCGCAUACGUCCUACGGGAGAAAGCAGGGGACCUUCGGGCCUUGCGCUAUCAGAUGAGCCUAGGUCGGAUUAGCUAGUUGGUGGGGUAAUGGCUCACCAAGGCGACGAUCCGUAACUGGUCUGAGAGGAUGAUCAGUCACACUGGAACUGAGACUCGGUCCAGACUCCUACGGGAGGCAGCUGUGGUA
rnacentral:rRNA from 1 species